AGAUGGAGGUGGACACAGAAGAGAAGCGCCAUCGCACACGCUCCAAAGGAGUUCGAGUUCCCGUGGAACCAGCCAUACAAGAGCUGUUCAGCUGUCCCACGCCCGGCUGCGACGGCAGUGGUCAUGUUAGUGGCAAAUAUGCAAGACACAGAAG